rnacentral:rRNA from 1 species
UACGUAGGGUGCAAGCGUUAUCCGGAAUUAUUGGGCGUAAAGAGCUCGUAGGCGGUUUGUCGCGUCUGCUGUGAAAACUGGAGGCUCAACCUCCAGCCUGCAGUGGGUACGGGCAGACUAGAGUGCGGUAGGGGAGAUUGGAAUUCCUGGUGUAGCGGUGGAAUGCGCAGAUAUCGGGAGGAACACCGGUGGCGAAGGCGGUUCUCUGGGACAACACUGACGCUGAGGCACGAAAGCGUGGGGAGCAAACAGG